CGAGCACGCGCGUGUGGCAUAUCAAUAAGCGGAGGAAAAGAAACUAACAAGGAUUCCCUUAGUAACGGCGAGUGAAGCGGGAAGAGCUCAAAUUUGAAAUCUUCAAGGUUCUACCUUGACGAAUUGUGAGUUUAUAGAAGUGUUUUCUGUUAGUAGAGUGGCAAGAGUUCUUUGGAAUAGGACAUCAUAGAGGGUGAGAAUCCCGUAUUUGGUCAUUCUUUCUAGCUUUGUGAUACACUUUCAACGAGUCGGAUUGUUUGGGAAUGCAGUCCAAAAUGGGUGGUAAAUUUCCAUCUAAAGCUAAAUAUUGGCGAGAGACCGAUAGCGAACAAGUACCGUGAGGGAAAGAUGAAAAGAACUUUGAAAAGAGAGUUAAACAGUACGUGAAAUUGUCAAAAGGGAAGCGUUUGACACCAGUGUUGUUUUUUCCGAAAAUCAAUUACGAAUGUUUUGUUUUUGAGGAGUUAUGACUUCAUCGGCUUGCUCCUUUCUUUAUGAAACUUUCUUAAUGCACUUUUCGGUUAACAAGUCAACAUCAAUUUCUUUUGUUGUAAAAGGGUAUGAGGAAGGUGGCUUUCUUUUCGGAGAAAGUGUUUAUAGCCUUGUGCCUCUGCAAUCGGAGAGAUUGAGGUCUGCAGCGUAGAUCCUUCGGGGUUAGAUACGUUUGUGCUAAGUUAUAGCUUUUCAUAGACAACUUGUUGACUAUGUUUAGUCUUGUAGCUUACUCGCUGACGCUAUUUUACCUACGCUUAGGAUGUUGAGCGCAUGUCUCUCUCUC
rnacentral:rRNA from 1 species